GGAAUAUUGGACAAUGGGCGCAAGCCUGAUCCAGCCAUGCCGCGUGCAGGAUGACGGUCCUAUGGAUUGUAAACUGCUUUUAUACGAGAAGAAACACUCCUUCGUGAAGGAGCUUGACGGUAUCGUAAGAAUAAGGAUCGGCUAACUCCGUGCCAGCAGCCGCGGUAAUACGGAGGAUCCAAGCGUUAUCCGGAAUCAUUGGGUUUAAAGGGUCCGUAGGCGGUUUAGUAAGUCAGUGGUGAAAGCCCAUCGCUCAACGGUGGAACGGCCAUUGAUACUGCUAAACUUGAAUUAUUAGGAAGUAACUAGAAUAUGUAGUGUAGCGGUGAAAUGCUUAGAGAUUACAUGGAAUACCAAUUGCGAAGGCAGGUUACUACUAAUGGAUUGACGCUGAUGGACGAAAGCGUGGGUAGCGAACAGGAUUAGAUACCCCUG
rnacentral:rRNA from 1 species